UACGUAGGGGUCGAGCGUUGUCCGGAGUUACUGGGCGUAAAGCGCGCGCAGGCGGCGCGAUAAGACCGGCGUGAAAGCCCCCGGCUCAACCGGGGAGGGUCGUUGGUGACUGUCGCGCUUGAAGGCAGCAGGGGAGACUGGAAUUCCUGGUGUAGCAGUGAAAUGCGUAGAUAUCAGGAGGAAUACCGAUGGCGAAGGCAGGUCUCUGGGCUGACACUGACGCUCAUGCACGAAAGCGUGGGGAGCAAACAGG
rnacentral:rRNA from 1 species